rnacentral:rRNA from 1 species
GAAAGGCGGGCUAAACCCGCGUACAUGCCACCGGGGCAUCCCGGAGGCAGGAAAGGCUUCGGCCGGACAGGGAUGGGCAUGCGGCGCAUUAGGCAGUAGGCGGGGUAACGGCCCACCUAACCGACGAUGCGUAGGGGUUCUGAGAGGAAGGUCCCCCACACUGGUACUGAGACACGGACCAGACUCCUACGGGAGGCAGCAGUGAGGAAUAUUGGUCAAUGGUCGGGAGACUGAACCAGCCAAGCCGCGUGAGGGAUGAAGGUACAGAGUAUCGUAAACCUCUUUUGUCAGGGAACAAAGGCGGGGACGUGUCCCCGGAUGAGUGUACCUGAAGAAAAAGCAUCGGCUAACUCCGUGCCAGCAGCCGCGGUAAUACGGAGGAUGCGAGCGUUAUCCGGAUUUAUUGGGUUUAAAGGGUGCGCAGGCGGUCUGUUAAGUCAGCGGUCAAAGCCCGGGGCUCAACCCCGGUCCGCCGUUGAAACUGGCAGUCUCGAGUUGGAGAGAAGUAUGCGGAAUGCGCGGUGUAGCGGUGAAAUGCAUAGAUAUCGCGCAGAACUCCGAUUGCGAAGGCAGCAUGCCGGCUCCACACUGACGCUGAGGCACGAAAGCGUGGGUAUCGAACAGGAUUAGAUACCCUGGUAGUCC